rnacentral:piRNA from 1 species
UNGCCUCAGACUGAGACUUGUACAAAUGGC